ensembl:snRNA U6 U6 spliceosomal RNA
GUGCUCGCUUUGGCAGCUCAUAGGCUAAAAUUGGAAUGAUUCAGGGAAGAUUUACAUGGUGCCUGCUUAAGGAUGACACAGAUUUCAGCAGGUUGUUGUAGAAAUUG